AUUGAACGCUGGCGGCAGGCUUAACACAUGCAAGUCGAACGAGUGGCGGACGGGUGAGUAAUGUCUGGGAAACUGCCUGAUGGAGGGGGAUAACUACUGGAAACGGUAGCUAAUACCGCAUACCAUCGGAUGUGCCCAGUUGGGUUUAGCUAGUGGGUGGGGUAAAGGCUCACCUAGGCGGCGAUCCCUAGCUGGUCUGAGAGGAUGACCAGCCACACUGGAACUGAGACCCGGGCCAGACUCCUACGGGAGGCAGCAGUGGGGAAUAUUGCACAAUGGGCGCAAGCCUGAUGCAGCCAUGCCGAGGGUAUGAAGAAGGCCUUCGGGGUGUAAAGUACUUUCAGCGGGGAGGCGUUACCCGCAGAAGAAGCACCGGCUAACUCCGUGCCAGCCGCCGCGGUAAUAC
rnacentral:rRNA from 1 species